rnacentral:rRNA from 1 species
AGUAAUAGGUGUGCUGUAAACCUAAAAUUUUUGGCGGUUUGCUAGGCUGAUCAGAGGAACCUGCUCUUUAAUGGAUGGUCCCCCUUAGAUUUUACUUCUUUUUUAAAUACCGCCGUCGACGACAGGUCAAGGUUUAGCUGAUGAGGAAGGUUGAAGGUGGAUUUGGGAGUGUAUGGUGUUGGGUUGAGCUCUAGUGGAUGU